UACGUAGGGUCCGAGCGUUGUCCGGAAUUAUUGGGCGUAAAGGGCUCGUAGGCGGUUUGUCGCGUCGGGAGUGAAAACUCAGGGCUCAACCCUGAGCGUGCUUCCGAUACGGGCAGACUAGAGGUAUGCAGGGGAGAACGGAAUUCCUGGUGUAGCAGUGGAAUGCGCAGAUAUCAGGAGGAACACCGGUGGCGAAGGCGGUUCUCUGGGCAUGACCUGACGCUGAGGAGCGAAAGCAUGGGGAGCGAACAGG
rnacentral:rRNA from 1 species